rnacentral:ncRNA from 1 species
GGGGAUCUACGGAGCCCUAUAACCUUGGCCACAUUUUGUGGCCCUUAAGCUGACGGAAGACAGAGA